ACGCUAGCUACAGGCUUAACACAUGCAAGUCGAGGGGCAGCAUGGUCUUAGCUUGCUAAGGCCGAUGGCGACCGGCGCACGGGUGAGUAACACGUAUCCAACCUGCCGUCUACUCUUGGACAGCCUUCUGAAAGGAAGAUUAAUACAAGAUGGCAUCAUGAGUCCGCAUGUUCACAUGAUUAAAGGUAUUCCGGUAGACGAUGGGGAUGCGUUCCAUUAGAUAGUAGGCGGGGUAACGGCCCACCUAGUCUUCGAUGGAUAGGGGUUCUGAGAGGAAGGUCCCCCACAUUGGAACUGAGACACGGUCCAAACUCCUACGGGAGGCAGCAGUGAGGAAUAUUGGUCAAUGGGCGAGAGCCUGAACCAGCCAAGUAGCGUGAAGGAUGACUGCCCUAUGGGUUGUAAACUUCUUUUAUAAAGGAAUAAAGUCGGGUAUGGAUACCCGUUUGCAUGUACUUUAUGAAUAAGGAUCGGCUAACUCCGUGCCAGCAGCCGCGAUAAUACGGAGGAUCCGAGCGUUAUCCGGAUUUAUUGGGUUUAAAGGGAGCGUAGAUGGAUGUUUAAGUCAGUUGUGAAAGUUUGCGGCUCAACCGUAAAAUUGCAGUUGAUACUGGAUAUCUUGAGUGCAGUUGAGGCAGGCGGAAUUCGUGGUGUAGCGGUGAAAUGCUUAGAUAUCACGAAGAACUCCGAUUGCGAAGGCAGCCUGCUAAGCUGCAACUGACAUUGAGGCUCGAAAGUGUGGGUAUCAAACAGGAUUAGAUACCCUGGUAGUCCACACGGUAAACGAUGAAUACUCGCUGUUUGCGAUAUACUGCAAGCGGCCAAGCGAAAGCGUUAAGUAUUCCACCUGGGGAGUACGCCGGCAACGGUGAAACUCAAAGGAAUUGACGGGGGCCCGCACAAGCGGAGGAACAUGUGGUUUAAUUCGAUGAUACGCGAGGAACCUUACCCGGGCUUAAAUUGCAGAUGAAUUACGGUGAAAGCCGUAAGCCGCAAGGCAUCUGUGAAGGUGCUGCAUGGUUGUCGUCAGCUCGUGCCGUGAGGUGUCGGCUUAAGUGCCAUAACGAGCGCAACCCUUGUUGUCAGUUACUAACAGGUUCCGCUGAGGACUCUGACAAGACUGCCAUCGUAAGAUGUGAGGAAGGUGGGGAUGACGUCAAAUCAGCACGGCCCUUACGUCCGGGGCUACACACGUGUUACAAUGGGGGGUACAGAGGGCCGCUACCACGCGAGUGGAUGCCAAUCCCCAAAACCUCUCUCAGUUCGGACUGGAGUCUGCAACCCGACUCCACGAAGCUGGAUUCGCUAGUAAUCGCGCAUCAGCCACGGCGCGGUGAAUACGUUCCCGGGCCUUGUACACACCGCCCGUCAAGCCAUGGGAGCCGGGGGUACCUGAAGUGCGUAACCGCGAGGAGCGCCCUAGGGUAAAACUGGUGACUGGGGCUAAG
rnacentral:rRNA from 1 species